GGGGAGAUAGCUGAGAUGGUUUUAGCACUUGCCUGAAAAGCAAGAGACGUGGGUUCAACUCCCACUCUUCCCA
rnacentral:tRNA from 2 species